rnacentral:rRNA from 1 species
GACGAACGCUGGCGGCGUGCCUAACACAUGCAAGUCGAACGAGUCCAGACUUCGGUCUGAGGCGAGUGGCGGACGGGUGAGUAACACGUGAGUAAUCUGUCCCGGUGCGGGGGAUAACCCAGGGAAACCCGGGCUAAUACCGCAUGGGCGGUUGGAAGGCUCUUCUAACCGGAAAAGGUGGCCUCUUUACAAUGCUACCGCGUCGGGAGGAACUCGCGGGCUAUCAGCUAGUUGGUAGGGUCACGGCCACCAAGGCGACGACGGCUACGGGGGUCUGAGAGGACGACCCCGCACAUUGGAACUGAGACACGGUCCAGACUCCUACGGGAGGCAGCAGUGGGGAAUUUUGGGCAAUGGCCGAAAGGCUGACCCAGCGACGCCGCGUGCGGGAGGACGCCUCGGU